GGCCUCCCGGAGCUAACGCGUUAAAUCGACCGCCUGGGGAGUACGGCCGCAAGGUUAAAACUCAAAUGAAUUGACGGGGGCCCGCACAAGCGGUGGAGCAUGUGGUUUAAUUCGAUGCAACGCGAAGAACCUUACCUACUCUUGACAUCCAGAGAACUUUCCAGAGAUGGAUUGGUGCCUUCGGGAACUCUGAGACAGGUGCUGCAUGGCUGUCGUCAGCCCGUGUUGUGAAAUGUUGGGUUAAGUCCCGCAACGAGCGCAACCCUUAUCCUUUGUUGCCAGCGGUUCGGCCGGGAACUCAAAGGAGACUGCCAGUGAUAAACUGGAGGAAGGUGGGGAUGACGUCAAGUCAUCAUGGCCCUUACGAGUAGGGCUACACACGUGCUACAAUGGCGUAUACAAAGAGAAGCGACCUCGCGAGAGCAAGCGGACCUCAUAAAGUACGUCGUAGUCCGGAUUGGAGUCUGCAACUCGACUCCAUGAAGUCGGAAUCGCUAGUAAUCGUAGAUCAGAAUGCUACGGUGAAUACGUUCCCGGGCCUUGUACACACCGCCCGUCACACCAUGGGAGUGGGUUGCAAAAGAAGUAGGUAGCUUAACCUUCGGGAGGGCGCUUACCACUUUGUGAUUCAUGACUGGGGUGAAGUCGUAACAAGGUAACCA
rnacentral:rRNA from 1 species